rnacentral:rRNA from 1 species
AACGAACGCUGGCGGCAUGCCUAACACAUGCAAGUCGAACGAAGGCUUCGGCCUUAGUGGCGCACGGGUGCGUAACGCGUGGGAAUCUGCCCUUUGGUUCGGAAUAACAGCUGGAAACGGCUGCUAAUACCGGAUGAUGACGAAAGUCCAAAGAUUUAUCGCCAGAGGAUGAGCCCGCGUUGGAUUAGGUAGUUGGUGGGGUAAAGGCCUACCAAGCCGACGAUCCAUAGCUGGUCUGAGAGGAUGAUCAGCCACACUGGGACUGAGACACGGCCCAGACUCCUACGGGAGGCAGCAGUGGGGAAUAUUGGACAAUGGGCGCAAGCCUGAUCCAGCAAUGCCGCGUGAGUGAUGAAGGCCCUAGGGUUGUAAAGCUCUUUUAACUGGGAAGAUAAUGACUGUACCGGGAGAAUAAGCCCCGGCUAACUCCGUG